rnacentral:pre_miRNA from 14 species
GCUGCUCCUCCUCCUCCAGGGCCUUGGCUGGGAUAUCAUCAUAUACUGUAAGUUUGUGAUGAGACACUACAGUAUAGAUGAUGUACUAGUCUGGGUACCCCAAGACUAGAGCCUGCC